UGUGAACAGAGCUACUCUAGCGUUCUUCUGGUUAGUGUCUGCCUGGCAUAUCCCUUUCCAUCUUUUAAAAUGUUCAACCUUUUCAUGUAUCAGAGACUGGCUAGAUGCUCACUGACUUCAUUUUCUCUUCCUGAGAACACAUUUCCCAACAUUUUUUGCAGCUAUGUUGGGACCCUGUGAACUGACUUCUGGCUAGAGGAAUGUGAGCAGAAGUGAUGUAUACCACUUCUAGCCUUGGCCCCUAAAAUAAACGUGGUCUUCUAUUCUCCCUCUCCCCUCCCUCUCGUUCCUGUGGCUGGAGGCAAAGAACUCCAUGGUGGUAGAAGCAGGAUUGAAGGAUUCCGGAUUCCUGUCACUGAAGGAGAGACAGCCAGAGCAGCAGCCUGACUUGCUGAACUGUAAUGUUUUCUCUAGGAUACUGCAAAUAUCUAGAUUGUUUUUGUUUUAAUUCAAUCCCAGGACAUCUUUAACUGAUUAUUUCUGAAGGCACAACCUCAAAGGAAUAUUUUUGAGAAACACACCCCCAGAAAUAUUCUAUAAUUUAAGUAAUCUUGAAAUAAAUCACAACAUUCACAUUUUCCUGCUAAAAUCAUAGAAAUCCUCCUUCGGAAGAUAAUUUCUCUCAUGUGUUAAGGUAAUUCUCCUACCCUGCUGUGACACAUACUGUGUGUAAGUGGGCUGCCUUUAUCCUCUCACCUUUACCACUUCCGAGCACACAGCUUGACUUCUAACUUACCAGCUCAUGGACUUCUUUGUUUAGGGCAUUCUCCUGUUGCUGGAGCCCACUGCCACUGGUGCUUAUGCAAGCAGGCCGGAAGUGCCAGGGAAUGAAUGCCCCUCUGGUUGCUCUCACUCAAUGCCUGAGAGAAGUUGAUGUAUAAAUAUCUCAGCUCUUUCUGCCCUGGGUGGAAUAACCGAGGUGUAUGUGUGUGUUUUGUACUGGUUCUCAGAAUGUCCCCAGCACCAGUAAGUUCCAGGAACCCACAGCGGUAACUGACUUAGUAAUACAUCCUUUAUUGGCUGCCUUGCCUUUCUUACUUCCCCGGUAACUUCCCCAUUCUACUGUGGCGGUUUCU
rnacentral:lncRNA from 1 species